GAAAUGCGAUAAGUAGUGUGAAUUGCAGAAUUCAGUGAAUCAUCGAAUCUUUGAACGCACAUUGCGCCCCUUGGUAUUCCAUGGGGCAUGCCUGUACGAGCGUCAUUUGUACCCUCAAGCUCUGCUUGGUGUUGGGUGUUUGUCCCCGUCUCCGCGCGUGGACUCGCCCCAAAGUGAUUGGCAGCCGGCGUACUGGUCCCGGAGCGCAGCACAUGUCGCGCAAACGAGUGCCUUGGUACGGCGGCGUCCAUAAGCCCCUCUCUCACGCUCUUGACCUCGGAUCAGGUAGGGAUACCCGCUGAACUUAAGC
rnacentral:misc_RNA from 1 species